GAUGAAGAACGUAGCGAAAUGCGAUAAGUAGUGUGAAUUGCAGAAUUCAGUGAAUCAUCGAAUCUUUGAACGCACAUUGCGCCCCUUGGUAUUCCAUGGGGCAUGCCUGUUCGAGCGUCAUUUGUACCUUCAAGCUUUGCUUGGUGUUGGGUGUUUGUCUCGCCUUUGCGUGUAGACUCGCCUUAAAAUAAUUGGCAGCCGGCGUAUUGAUUUCGGAGCGCAGUACAUCUCGCGCUUUGCACUCAUAACGACAGCGUCCAAAAGUACAUUUUACACUCUUGACCUCGGAUCAGGUAGUGAUACCCGCUGAACUUAAGCAUAUCAAUAAGCGGAGGA
rnacentral:misc_RNA from 1 species